ACGACACUCUGUCAUUGUACAUUUUCUAUCAAAGAAACAUAUCAAAACAAGUCAAAUAUGAGUAAAAAUGACCAACUAUGAAGAAAUAAGGACUUAGUAAAAAUAUGAGGGAAAAAGGAGCAAAAAACAUGUAGCUACUAGAAUAAUCAUGCACAACAUCAUGUGCGUGAUAUAUUUGUUUUGCCAGCAUCGUGUGCAUGAUGAAAAGGAUCACGCGAACGAUAGGUCCUUUUU
rnacentral:lncRNA from 1 species